rnacentral:rRNA from 1 species
AGAGUUUGAUCCUGGCUCAGGACAAACGCUGGCGGCGUGCGUGACACAUGCAAGUCGCGCGAGGUGGAGGCUUCGGCUUCCAUCGAGCGGCGGACGGGUGAGGAACACGUGAAUGACCAACCCUCCAGUGGGGCAUACCCGAUGGAAACGUCGGUUAAUCCCGCAUACGGUCUCGGCAACGAGAAGAAAGCAGCAAUGCG